CAUGGCAGUACCAGCACCAUGUGUUGGUAAUCAGUCUUCUCCUGCACACGUAGGUAGUACGUCGUCCGUUGGUAGUGCAUCUGCAGGUAAUUCGACAACGGUUGGUACGUUGUCGCCUGUUGGACGACAGCUGAGCCAGCACUCCACUGUCGCUACACCUUCGCCCGCUACACCAUUCAUUGCGCAGCAAUCGCCGGUGGGCGAGAACACGCCUGGGACGGUACCUCGUGAUUCGCAGAGACGCCUUUCAGAUUUGUAGAUAUUUUGUGUAAUUAUUUUUUGUUCGUAAAUAUUUGCUUGUUAACGAAUAUGUUAUUAAUUAUUUGUUUGUGUAGUAUGAUUUCGUGUUGGUUUUGGGUAAAAUAAAUGCUGCGUUAUUUGU